ensembl:lncRNA
AAAGCGAAACUGGGAACUGCGGUGGGGUCUGGCCCUCGGAAGGCUGUUACAUGGACGUCUCCCGGGGAGCUGCCCGCGCCUGUCGCAGCCCUUACGCCUUCACCUAGCAACUGAAGCCUCAGCGGGAAGAGCAGCUGGGUCCUUUCUGGAGGGAGAGGAGCCGCCGGCCUCCACUCUGCAGUUCAAGCUGCAGCUCCAAGGCCACCGGUGCAGGCCUGAGACCUCGGAUGCAUCUUUCCAAGGCCGCACAGCCUGAAGCAGCACCACAGGAGGAGAAACCAGCGCCCAAAGCUCUGGCCCAAACCCUGCACUCCAGGCCAGCUUCGAGCUGACAGGUUCACAACCCAGGGUUGCAGGCUUCAGGGACCUUUAGUCCAAGCUGCAGAAAUGGCCUCGGGCCAGGAGACGGUCCCCUCCUGACGCACAGGCACUGGUGACAUGAGAGGCAGUGAGGUCACCCGCUUCUGGGGAGCCACAAGGGCUCUGCACAUGGAGCAGCAGGCUGGACCCUGGCGCCGUAGGGCCCACUCCUGGCUGAGUAGCCCACCCUCAAGAGGCGCAUGCUCAGUGCUCCCCCGGCCCGUGCCCGAACCCCCCUGCAGACCGGAUCCCGGACUGUGGGUGACCCUUGGCCUUCUCCCUGCCCCCUUCCCAUGGCCAGGUCAGGGCUCCUCUGCUCCCUGCGAGGUACGUGGUCCUAAUAGGUGGAGUCCCUCAUAGCACUGAGGUACCUGGGCCUGGCCAGGUGGAGAAACUGAGGCACGGUCCCAUCGUCACAGGUGUUCAUGUCUUCUAGAUAUGUCCAGGCUCUGCCCUUUCUCUCCACCGCCCUCUCCCAUACUAGUCUCCCACCUUCUUUUAGACCCAGAUCAUUUCUCACUCAGACCCACUCUGCUUUCCCUGCUCACCCCAGUUGCCCUUCCAACAGCCAGAGAGGCUUUUACUGUUUUGCUGGUAGCUAGGAUUGAACCCAGGGCCUCAUGAAGGCCAGGCCAGAGAGUUCUUAAAAAACAUAAAUCAUAGCCAAGCUUGGUGGCACAUGCCUAUAAUCACAGCACUCGGGAGGCUGAGGCUGGAGCUUCUCCACAAGUUCAAGGUCAGCCUGAACUAAGACCCUGUCUCAAACAGACCAAACCAACACAAAAAACACAAAUCCAAACAGGUCAUACCUACCCUUCCUCGACGGUUCAGUUUUUCCAAUUUCAAUUUCUAGUUGUUCUAGCAAUAUGGAAGCCUUUCCCUUGCUUAAUUUGGUGGGCACCUUUCUUGCAAAUGAAUUGCCCACAUAAAUGCAGACCUGGCUUGGCUUUCUGUCCCAUUCCCUUAUUUAUCCAGCUUUUUGCUUGCACCAUGUGUCUUUAGCUGUAGAGCAAGUCUUCCAGUCUAACGUUGGUCCUUUAUAAAUCUGUUAUGUCUCUUCUUGUCCAUAAGAGGAGAAGCAGUAUCAGUUUAUGUUAAAGGCCUUCCAGGGUUUUGAUUGGGAAUUACAGUAGAGCUAUGUAUCAGCUUGGGAGAAGUGAGCAUAUUAACAAUAUUGAGUUUUUCAACCCAUGAACACGGUCGCUCUCUAUUUAUUUAUUUAUAACUGCCUAAAUCUCUCCAAAAUUUUUUUUAAAGCUCAGAAUUAUUUAUUCAAAAACAUAUCACUGUACCCAUGAGCGAUUGUAUUGCUUGUGACGGGUCAAUUUAUAUAGGCAGUUACAUCUUGAGAUAAUCUUCAUUCACGGUGAAUUUAAGUUUUAGCUUAAACCAGUAGUGUACAUCUAAGACAAUGUGAUGUGUAUACCCAUGAGUGUCAAAAAGCUGUUUCUUGAUUUUUUAUGAAAUCCCAGUUAAGAAUCUUUUUUUGUUUUUGAUUUUGAGACAGGGCCUUGCUAUGUGGUUGAGGCUGGCCUCAAGCUCAUCCUGAUCCUCCUGCCUCAGCCUCCUGAGUGCUGGGAUUAUAGAUGUGGGCCACCACGCUGGCUUGGACUCUGAUUUUUUUUAAGUGCAAAAGCAAAACCUUAUGAACAAUUGGACGUUUGAACACUGACAGGAAAUUGGAUGCUACUGUUGGUUUUUAAAGUAUGCUAAGAAUGACAUUGUAGUUACUGUUUUAUUUUUAUUUAUUUAUUUAUUUUGGUACUGGGGAUCGAACUUGGGUCCUUGCACUUGUGCAGCAGGCGGCAAAACCACUGAGCUAAAUCCCCGGCUGUAGUUACUGUUUUAAAACUUACAGUUUAGAGGUAUAUAGCGAAAUACUAGUGAAUGGAAUGAUUUAUACGGAAGACUUUGAUUGUCCCUGUCACUCUCAGGAUCAAAGCCAGAAGCUCCUACUUCCGCCUCCUGGGCCCCUGCCUGCUGUGUCCCCUCCACAGGCCUCUUGGGCUCACUCCCUGG